rnacentral:lncRNA from 1 species
AGUGAAAAGUGAAAGCGAAGUUGCUCAGUUGUGUCCGCUAGAAAUCUGCAAAUUAUUAACCAGUGGCUUUGGUAAGAGAUAACUAUGGAAAAAAGCUUGCCUCUAUUUCUUAUUUGAACUGGAUAAAUGGAUAAUGGGUGGGACAGAAUGAACAUUAUUAGGAGAAUUAAAGUAGAGGCAAGAACAAGCCAAGGUAUUUUAGCCUAGCAUAAGAGGUUCAGACUAGAAAAGGUCUUCAGCAUCAAACUAAAAAAAACCUAAGGUUUCAGAAUAGGGAAAUGAUAGUAUGAGAACGAUUUUUAAGACUACUGAUUUGAUGGGAUGAGUGAGCAAAGCUGGAAAGUGUCAGAACAUUUAGAAUGAGGUAAUAAGGGUGAGCAUCAAGGAGGAAGUACUGACUAUAGUAACUAGAAUGUCAGAGAACACUGGUAAAAACGGUCAAACUUCCUUUCACAUAUGUAAGGACAGGAAGUUAGUAUUAAAUAAGAGAUUUAAAAUAUUAUAAACACAAGAGUAAUCAAAAUAAUAAUAGUAAAAAAUAAUAAGAACAAAAUAAUCUUCAACAGGUUUUUCAGAUGUUUACUUGCAUGAUUCUUGAAACUCCACUAAGAGCUCAGGAGCAGUUUGUAUUGCCUUCUUUUAAUGGAGUUUUGGGAACAAAAUUUUCUUUACUUUCAUGAAGAAAAGCCUUUGAAGGAUCAAAGCAAUACCCAGAACUUUAUUCAAUUCCUCCUGAAGUUUUGCUUCACUUUGUUUUCUUUUAGUAAGCUGAGCACGGAGUUUUAACACCUCCGAUUUGAGAUUGCUAUUUUCAUCUUUCAAUUUCACAACAUGCUUGAUUUUUUGCUUUAGAUUCUGAUGACCCAAUAAUUUAGCAUAUGAAUCUCUUAGAUUAUUUAGUUGUUUCUGAGCCACACCAUAUUCAUUCAACAAAGCCUGUUUCUCUGCUUCAAAUGCAUCCUGUUGUAGCUGAAAAGGCUUUGUUUUAUUAUAUAAUUCUUCAUAGAGGAGACGCCAUUUAUUCAUUUCCUCAGUUAAUUCUGCUAUUGAGUUUUCUUUUCCAGCUUUUCUUCCUCCUUCCUCUUCCAGUUGGCUUAAGCAGGUUUUCCACUUGUUCCUCCUUUUGCUGCAAUUUAUCCAGCUCAUCCAAGGCCUGCUUUAAUUCUCCCUCAAGGACAGUUCUCUCUUUAAUCAUUUCUUCUUGAAAAGAACAUAGCUUCUGCUGAAGACCAGAAGAUAAUUCCUUCUCUUUUGCAGAAGUGAAUCUAGUUACAAUACUUUAUGUUGUAGCUCUUCAUGUUCUUGUUUUUCAAGAAGACUUCUCUUUUAAGCUUUGUAUCUCAGAAUUUAGAUUUUUGUCCCAUUCUCUGUUCCUAUUGAUGAGGUCUUCUUUUUCUUCUUCAAGCACCUGGCAUUUAGACUUCAUGUCUUCUACUUGUUUAGACAAUAUAUAUUUUCCUCAAGAGCCUGCUUAAGGCUUAAAACUUAAGAAAUAAAUUGUGCAUCAGAUCAAGUGAAAGAAUACA